UACAGAGGGUGCGAGCGUUGUUCGGAAUUACUGGGCGUAAAGCGCGUGUAGGCGGCUUGGCAAGUCAGAUGUGAAAGCCCUCGGCUUAACCGAGGAAGUGCGUCUGAAACUGCUGAGCUUGAGUGUCGGAGAGGAUGGCGGAAUUCCGCAAGUAGAGGUGAAAUUCGUAGAUAUGCGGAGGAACACCGGUGGCGAAGGCGGCGGCCUGGGUUGACACUGACGCUGAGGCGCGAAAGCGUGGGGAGCAAACAGG
rnacentral:rRNA from 1 species